rnacentral:rRNA from 1 species
UAACUUGAGAGUUUGAUCCUGGCUCAGAACGAACGCUGGCGGCACGCUUAACACAUGCAAGU